UAAUAAAAGGGCUUGGGUCAGCUGUGAGUUGUGUGUAUAGAGAAUAUAAAUCUUGUCUCUCCCAAAAUACAGGUGUUGGUGUUGCUGCCUUAUAACUUUUAUGAAAAUUUUAGGGCUUUUUCUUGUAUAGCAUAAUCUAUGGGUUGGACAACCAACUGACAUCUAGUAAAUAACGCUGUAAAUAUCCCUUGUCUGAAUGCUGUCCUAGCUGUCCUAUCAGGCCUGUAAAAACUAAUGUCAUGUUGUAAACUAGACCAGAACAGUAACUUGGCCUCUGCAGAUAGGGCCAGAGGGAAAAAAAAAAAAAAGAGUAACCUGACAUCAGCAAAAUAUUUAAAAUUAACCAUAGCUUUGCAUCUGAACUGAUAGAACUAGUCUUAAUCACUUGGGUUAUGAAAACAGAAGAAUGGCAUUACCUCUAUUUUCAACCCAGAGAUGGACAAAUUUUUUGUAUCCUAAAGCUCCAUAUUGCCUGACUGUUCAAUGUAUUGUAUUAAGAACUGCAUAUUCAGUGGUGACACUCAGACUGCAUUCAAGCUACAUCAGCACAUUUAGUGAAAGUCUUUUAAGGUUUCUUCACUUGGUUGCUGAAAAGCUUGUUUGUAUCUCUAUGGAUUCUCCUCACAUUAUGCGGUUGGACCAGCAGCAAUAAGUAUAGCAAGAAUAUGUCUAUCAAGAACUGAGGAAUCAGCAGAAAAAGCAACAUCAAAAGACAGUUAUUCAUCAUAAUCAUCAUCAUUAGCAGAAAAAUAAGAUCCAGAAUGAAUUCCUACAGGACUCAUUUCAGCUAAAUAGCCAAUGUUUUGGAUAGGCAAUGUGUUGGUUUUAUAAGGCUUCCUGAUGUACUUAGAGGAAGCAAAAUGAAGCUGUUUCAGGGUAUUUAACUAGAAUAGGUGUUUUUUAUCCCUUUUUUAUCCCAAAAAGUCAUAGUUUCUCCAUGCAAAAAUGGUAUGUAUAAACUGGUAUUUUUAAUAUUUUUGUGUAAUAAACUCCUAGUUUAGGGAAUGGAACA
rnacentral:lncRNA from 1 species